UUGAAGACUUCAGUGUCAGCGGGGGCAGCACCAGGUGACAGCUCUCGACAAGCACUCCCCUAGGCACAAGCCAAACCAGAGAAGGAGGAAAAAAAGAAGGGGAAAUAGGAAAAAAAGGAGGGAGAAUGAAUUGAAGGUCAGAUGCCUCUCCCUUUCAUGAAACAGAUGGGACCAGAGCUACACAAUCAUAAGAGGGGACCAUUGCAGCUGGACUCAGGAGCCUACUCCUUGACUGGAUGGGGAUCAGAAAACUUUGUAUGUAUUCCAGGGGUCUCUACUGAUCCCUAUUUCUGUGAGUUCUGAAGAGCAAACAUGUAAUGGAUGCUUACCUUCUGAUACGGGGAGGGAAAAUGAGCUCACCCAGCUGCCACCUCAUUCACAGGCUGGGUGAACUUGUGCAGUUUUUCACUGAGGGCACAGUCUGAAUUGCUGAAAGCUUGCAGCAGACUGAAAAACCUUUACUGCAAGCAAGAAAAUAGAAGGUGGCAGAAAUCCAACAUCAACCCAAGAUUUUUAGCUUGUGGAUUCCCAGCACAUGUGGCUGGGAAGACAAAAAUGUUUAUUGGGUAAUUGAGCACAUUUACAUUAGUAUAAUUAAAAGUAAGAUCACAAUUACUAUGAUGCAAGUCCUGUGAGGAAUAUUUGACAACAUUAAUUUUUACUUGAUUAAUUUAUUCUAAGUGGGCCUCCAAGAAGCUUCAGAUAUGAGGUUCUAUUUCCAAGUACACACAAGGAAAAAUCAGAAAUUCAGACCAAUAAACCUAAUAUGUACACAGAUU